rnacentral:rRNA from 1 species
GACGAACGCUGGCGGCGUGCUUAACACAUGCAAGUCGAACGGAAAGGCCCUGCUUGCUGGGUACUCGAGUGGCGAACGGGUGAGUAACACGUGGGUGAUCUGCCCUGCACUUCGGGAUAAGCCUGGGAAACUGGGUCUAAUACCGGAUAGGAGCCAUUUUUAGUGUGAUGGUUGGAAAGUUUUUUCGGUGUAGGAUGAGCUCGCGGCCUAUCAGCUUGUUGGUGGGGUAAUGGCCUACCAAGGCGGCGACGGGUAGCCGGCCUGAGAGGGUGGACGGCCACAUUGGGACUGAGAGACGGCCCAGACGCCUACGGGAGGCAGCAGUGGGGAAUAUUGCACAAUGGGCGCAAGCCUGAUGCAGCGACGCCGCGUGGGGGAUGACGGCCUUCGGGUUGUAAACGCCUUUCGCUAGGGACGAAGCUUUUUGUGACGGUACCUAGAGAAGAAGCACCGGCUAACUACGUG